UUUCCGUAGGUGAACCUGCGGAAGGAUCAUUACAGAGUUCAUGCCCGAAAGGGUAGACCUCCCACCCUUGUGUAUUAUUACUUUGUUGCUUUGGCGAGCGCAAGCUCGCCUGAGAAUACCAAAACUCUUUUUAUUAAUGUCGUCUGAGUACUAUAUAAUAGUUAAAACUUUCAACGACGGAUCUCUUGGUUCUG
rnacentral:misc_RNA from 1 species